GACGAACGCUGGCGGCGUGCCUAAUACAUGCAAGUAGAACGCACAGUUUAUACCGUAGCUUGCUACACCAUAGACUGUGAGUUGCGAACGGGUGAGUAACGCGUAGGUAACCUGCCUGGUAGCGGGGGAUAACUAUUGGAAACGAUAGCUAAUACCGCAUAAUAUUGAUUAUUGCAUGAUAAUUAAUUGAAAGGUGCAAUUGCACCACUACCAGAUGGACCUGCGUUGUAUUAGCUAGUAGGUGAGGUAACGGCUCACCUAGGCGACGAUACAUAGCCGACCUGAGAGGGUGAUCGGCCACACUGGGACUGAGACACGGCCCAGACGCCUACGGGAAGCAGCAGUAGGGAAUCGUAGGCAAUGGACGAAAGUCUGAACGAGCAACGCCGCGUGAGUGAAGAAGGUUUUCGGAUCGUAAAGCUCUGUUGUAAGAGAAGAACGGGUGUGAGAGUGGAAAGUUCACACUGUGACGGUAUCUUAACAGAAAGAGACGGCUAACUACGUG
rnacentral:rRNA from 1 species